AAUUAUACACUUACAGUUCUUUAUUUAAGAGAUGAGGAAUUAUGUACAUUAUUUACAUUAUUUACAUUCGACGGAUAUUUGUCCUCAUCUUGUUUAUUGUUAAAUACCUUGGGAAUGAGAACCCAGUUCGAGAUUUCCCCAAGACACCUGAAGAAUGCUGGAGGGUAUAUCAGCCGAAACGUUGUGUUAACAACAAACAAGAUGAGGACAAAUAUCCGUCGAAUGUAAAUGAUGAAUUAUACACUUAGUCUGAAUAUGAAUAGUUAUAAAUAAAAUAAAAGACGUGUAUAUAUGAAAAUACGAGUAUAUAAACUUUUUGUAUAUAUUUGUAAACAUAUUACAUAUGUAUGCUUACAUAUGGUUUUGUAAUAUUGAUAUUGACUUAUAAAUUUAUAUACAACACAUGUUUAUAUGUACUGACAUAGACAAUAAGUAGAAUGUGCUUAUAUAUAUGUAUGUAUACAUUGAGAUAUAUAUAUUUGCGUAUGUGUAUAUAUAUAUAUAUACACAUAUAUAUUUAUGCACGUACAUGCAGACGCAUAGUGCUAUACACACACACAAGCACACAUGCAAAAUCUAGUGAUUUCUUGUUGACUCAAUAAAUGAAAAUCACGAAUAACAGUUAAGUAAUCAAUGCACAAUAUUAAUGGGUUAAAUGAGUUUUGUGUUUUAUAUGUAUGUAUAUAUAUAUAAACAUAUAGUUGUACAGUGGCGAGAAUGCAUGUAUUAUAUAUAUAUAUAUAUAUAUACAAACUAUUAUGUAAACAUCCAUAUGUAAUAUGUAUACAAAUGUAUACAAAAAGUUUAUAUACCUCUAUUUUUAUAUAACUAUUUAUAUACAAAUGUAUAAGUAUUUAUAUACAAAUAUAUAUUUAGCUUCUAAUUGGAAGGAAGGUUAACAAUGUUCUUUACCUAUCUCCUUAACAUCUUUCAGAUUUUAGGCAAAAGUAUAGUAACGUGUCCAUUUGUUUUAAUUUAAUUAAAUUAUAUGUCUUUAUGCAGCUGAGGAUUGCUCUGCAUUGAUAUUGAUGUAAUGGUUGCAUUGUUCAAUUAAAUGGAGUUGCGUGAAACGAUCGUACUGCAUUACCACUGGAUAUCCUUGUUGCAUAUUUUGAUAUAUGUGUGCGUGCGUGUGUGUGUGUGUGUGUGUGUGUGUGUAAAAAUUUGCCUAUAUGUUAGUAUGUGUCUGUGUGUUCAUUUUGUGUCUGCUUCGGCAAAGAGACUGAUAGAAGUACCAGGCAUUGAAAAAAAAUAAAAAUAAUAAUAAUAAUAAGUGCAUUACUCGAUUCAUUCGUCAAAAAAAUUCAAAGCGGUGCCCCAUCAUGGCCGCAGUCUAAUGACUGAAACAAAUGAAAGAGAUAAAAGUGAUAAAAUAUAUGUGUGUGAGUGUGGUUGUUUGUGUGUACUGAUAAACUUAUGUUCGUAUCUCCAUGUACAUGUAAAUGCAUACAAAGACGAGUGAUUCUUUACAUCCACACAUGUCUGUUACCUUUUGAUCCACUCACAUCAUCUUCCAAUCACUGCGCUCGUACAAUUAAACAGCCAUCUUAGAAACUGAUCGAGAUCCAUUUAAUUGCUCUGGAUUACAUUUAUUUUCCAAGAUGUACCUAACAAUAACUUAUGGCUGUAAGUAAUACACCAUUUGUAAUGCAGUAUAUCGCAAUCUCGUCAUCAACCAUUAGGACAAGAAAAUUGCAUGAGCUGACUACUGAAAUGCUAUUAAAAUUUUGGCCAAAGACAUUUUAAUUAUACUACAAGAAACAGAUUUUAAAAAAUUCAGGAAGAGAAGGGUGGAACAAAGAUCACUCCCAUAUAUUCCAUUUAAUGGAAUAGUAUCAAAUUCAUUCAUUCAUCAAGAACUUACUAAAGAGAGACGUUUGUAGUAACAGUACUUAUACCAUAAGUUUUGCCCCAGCAUGGCCACAGUGAUGGGGCUGGAACUGGCAAACAUCAAAGAGAAUAAAAUAUAUGUUUGAAUGUAUGGAUAUGUGUGUAUGUGCGUUCGUGUGUGUGUGUAUGUAUGUAUGUAUAUAUAUAUUAUAAUAUAUUAUAUAUAUAUGUAUAUAUAUAUAUGUAUAUAUAUUUAUAUAUAUAUAUAUAUGUAUAUAUAUUUGUACAGUGGCGAGUAUGCAUGUAUUAUAUAUAUAUAUACAAACUAAUAUGUAAGCAUGCAUAUGUAAUAUGCAUACAAAUGUAUACAAAAAGUUUAUAUACAUGCAUUUUCAUAUAACUAUUUAUAUCGUUAGCCACUACGCACAUUUUUUUCUCUCCUUGUUUCUCUCCUUGUUUUUUCUGUGUCCCUUUCUGUAGAAGAGCGUAGGCUCGAAACGUAAAAGACUUUUUCUGUUCCUGAGCGUUAUAUUAAUACAUCUGUUUGUUUUGUACACCACCUGUCUUCGUCUUUUGUUUUUUCCGUAAACUCUCCCUAUAUAUAUAUAUAUAUAUAUAUAUAUAUAUAUACACCCACAGGGUGAUUAAAAAGUAACUCCCUAUUUUAAAAUACUCAUAAUUUAUUAACUAUAAGUUUUAGAAAAAAAUGAAUAUGUGAAAAAAGCGUAUAGCAUGGAGUUUAUUUAAAAUUCGAUAUAGGCCCCAACAUUCGCCAUCAGCUUCUCAAGCCGCCAGGUAACUGCAUCAACUGAUUUCAUCAGGAACUCUUGUGGGAUGGAAGAUAUAACUUCUUGCAUUCGCCUUUGGUCCUUUAACCAGCCCCAAAGAAAAAGUCGCUGUGUGUUAAAUCAGGGCUUCUGGCUAGUCAAUCAUGCGGACCUAGACAACUCAUCCAUCACUCAGGAAAGUAGGCAUUCAACCAUUCAAGAAUAACAAUAGCAAAAUGUGGAGGAGCGUCAUCUUGCAUAAAAUCUUCAAUAUUCUCCCGAGUACUGAUAACUGGCCAAAUUUCAUCUUGCAGCAUAGUGAGGUACCUUUCAGCAUUCAUUUCAUUGCAAAGGAUGAAAAGACCCACAAUCCUGUCUGAAGUCAUUCCACACCAUACCCUUACCUUGGGACAAUUCUGCAUUUUUUCAGAGGUAAUACGAGGAUUUUCUCCUGCCCAGUAGUGGCAGUUGUGACGGUUCACAAACCCACCGAUGUGGAAUACUGUUUCAUCACUCCAGAGGAUAUUUUAAAAUCGUCCAGCCCAUGUUUGUAGGGCUUCUAAAUUUCAAACAAAAUAUUCGAUCUGAAAGAAAAAAAAAUCAACAUAGAAUCAAUUCUCCCACAUUAAAGAACAUACACAACAAAUUUGAGAAAAAGAUUAUAGUUUAUAAAUAAAUCAUAAUUAUUGUAAUAUAGGGAAUUAAUUUUCAAUCACCAUGUAUAUAGAUAUAUAGAUAGAUAAACAUAUACGCACACACAUCUAUCUAUCUAUCUAUCUAUCUAUCUAUCUAUCUAUCUAUCUAUCUAUCUAUCUAUCUAUCUAUCUAUCUAUCUAUCUAUCUAUCUAUCUCUCUCUCUCUCUCUCUCUCUCUCUAUAUAUAUAUAUAUAUAUAUAUAUAUAUAUAUAUACAACACACAUACACACACACACACACACACACACACAUUUAUAUAUAUAUAUAUAUAUAUAUAUGCACGCGCACACGCACACACAUAUAUGUGGAGGGUUGGCGCCAAACUUUGGCAUCGAGAGCUAUACUAACUCCUGAACUGUACGUUAUUGCAUGGUUCCCACCUAGUGUAAGGUCCAUGUACAGCAGUAGCUUGGAAUUCAAGGGCCAACACCUGUUUAAUAUCUUGCCAAAAUAUCUGACCAAUCUGCAUGCAGUAGGGGUGGAUGCUUUCAAGAAACAACUUGACCACCUGCUGCCCAAGAUCCCAGAUGAGCCUCCAUGACAACAAGAAACUCAACAGAUGGCAGCAAUAUCGGGUUUCCACUUUCACCAAAAGUCAAUAACAUAAAAAUGGUCUUUGUAAAAGUGAUAGUGCUAGCGACGCGCCUGGAUGUCCACAAGCCUUGGGCUGAAAUGCAUAUACGAAUAAAAGAGUGUAUGAAAGAGAGAGGGAAUUGAUUGCAACUUCAUUCAGGAUCGAGCUCAAUGCAAAUCGAGCUGUUAUGAAGGUAGUGAGGCAGAUCAACACAGACUUAAUAUAUACGUUUCCAUGGGACACAAAAUACGGUUUAUAAAAUAUAGAAAAUAUAUAUAAUGAAAAUACUUUAUAUAAUGUUUUACAUAAGCGCAGGCGUGGCUGUGUGGUAAGUAGCUUGUUUACCAACCACAUGGUUCCGGGCUCAGUCCCACUGCAUGGUAACUUAGGCAGGUGUCUUCUACUAUAACCUCGGGCCGACCAAAGCCUUGUGAGUGGAUUUGAUAGACAGAAACUGAAAAAAACCCGUUGUAUAUAUGUAUGUAUAUAUAUAUAUGUGUGUGUGUGUAUGUGUGUGUGUGUGCGUGUGUGCGUGUGUGCAUGCUUAUGUUUGUGUGUGUGUUUAUAUGUUUUUGGGUUUGUGUUUGUCCCACCAACAUCGCUUGACAACCGAUGCUGGUGUGUUUACGUCCCCGUGUCUUAGCGGUUCGGCAAAUGGGACCGAUAGAAUAAGUACUAGGCUUAUAAAGACUAAUUCCUGGGAUAGAUUUGCUCGACUAAAAGCGGUGCUCCAGCAUGGCCGCAGUCAAAUGACUGAAACAAGUAAAAGAAUAAAAGAAUUAUAUAUAUAUUUUCUUUAUAUUUUUGUACUCCAUGUAAAUUUAUCUACCUUUAUAACUCCUCUCUCUCUCUCUAUCUUUCUAUCUCUUUCUCUGUAUAUAAACUGCUAGUCAAUCUCUGAUUUCCAACCCCAGAAUAUAAGCUGAUGCUCAACAAAUAUAGAAACUUUAUGAGGCACAACUGAGGACCACGGUGUAGUUUUGUGCACACCUCUAGGAUGACGAUGCUGUCAUUUUACUUUACAGACUUUUAAGUUCACAUGCCAAAAUCUACCAUCAAUCUGACUGCCAUAAAAAUCAAUCACAUGCACCUUCCGAUAUCCGUCCCAUAGACGCACCAUUUGAUCUCUGUUUUUAUUUUACCGACAAAAUCCUGUUCGCUGCUGCUCCACUCAGGCAUUCACUAUAUUCGUCACUUCUCCAAUUCAUAAAUAUUUUAUGAUCUUCCUUCCGGACACAGCGUUCAUCACUAUCACCUGCCCUUUCUCCGUAGAACGUCGUCUCUCUCUGGAAUAUCUUUGCUGCACAUUCAUUCUGUAGGUGAUGACUUGUCCAGUCGCAGGAAUAUUAACGGCACUGGUCUCGUCUGUCUUGCAGGUCUUGUGAAGAACAAGGGCAUUGCUAUAUCAUUUAUAUAUGGCUAAUCAAGAGAUAAAUAUAUUUGACAUUUAUAUAAACUAAUUUUUCGUAUAUGUCGUAUAUGCAUGUUAGAUAUAUAUGACUUUUAUUAGAAAAUAUAUCAUGUGUAUUAGUUAUAUAUGCAUGUAUAUAUAUAUAUUUAGACACAUACAUAAAUAUAUACACACACAUAUAUAUUUUCUUAUAUAUGUAUUCUUAGUCCAUUGGUGAUAUCUUGAAACUGCUUAAUUUUCCCUGAUGUUUCGCUUUUCACAAAAUGUUAUGUUGAGACUUAAAAGUUCGCCUUAGAACUCAAUAUAAAGAUGGUUCAGAAGAAAGAACUCGAGAAGUUCAUCAGAUAAUUUCUCAUUCACCGAAUUUCUUGUACAGAAACAAGUAGGAUUAGCUGUAUAGUUAGAUCAUGGUUCCGGGUUCGGUGUCAUUGCGGGGCUCCUUGGACAAGUGUCUUUUUUCUAUAGCCUCGAGCCGAUUAAAGUCUUGUAAAUGGAUUCGGUAGGCGGAACUUAUAUAUAUGUAUACACACACACACACACACACACACACACACACAUAUAUAUAUAUAUAUAUAUAUAUAUAUAUAGAGAGAGAGAGAGAGAGAGAGAGAGAGGGGGAGAGAAAUGUUUGUGUGUGUGGUUUUCUUUCUUGCAGUUAGUCCUCAUCACUUGAAAACAAGUUCUGGUUUGUUUAUGUCCUUGUAAACUCGCUGUAGUACAAAACGACAUAGCACGUUCAUUCACAAUACAAAAGAAGACAAAGAAAAAGCAUGCUACAGAGUAGAUAUGAUAUAAUCAACUAAAACGUUUGUAGGCAGUGCUCCAGCUUGGCCGCAGUCCUAUGAUUGAAAGACCUAGACAAAGUAAAAAGAAGGGAUAUAAGUACAGGUGCACUCUAGUCACAGCAGGUUUUAUGUCGGCGGGUGAGGAGCUAUUCAAAUGUCUUCAUGUAUCUUCGUGUGAGACUGAAAAUUUCUAGGCCCUUCUCUUCCUCUUCCUUCUGUUUCUCCUUUAACCCACCUCUCUUUCUGUAUAUCUAUCUAUCUAUCUAUCUAUCUAUCUAUCUAUCUAUCUAUCUAUCUAUCUAUCUAUCUAUCUAUCUAUCAUCUACCUACCUACCUAUCUAUCUAUCUAUCUACCUAUCUAUCUAUCUACCUCUAUCUAUCUAUCUAUCUAUAUCUAUCUAUCUAUCUAUCUAUCUAUCUAUCUACCUGCCUACAUACCUACCUAUCUAUCUAUCUAUCUAUCUAUCUAUCUAUCUAUCUAUCUAUCUAUCUAUCUAUCUAUCUAUCUAUCUCUAAUCACACACACACACACACAAGCACGCAUAUACACACACGUGUAUGCGCUGUUAUGCAUUGUGUUAUCACUGGAAAUGAAAAGGAGUCUGUCUGUUUCUGAGGGAGUAUUUGGGGAACAAUAAAUUUUGGGGCAGGUAUUGUGAUAACAGUUGGGCCAGAUCAACGUCUGAUUAUUUGGUGCAUGUUCCCGCAUAUAUAUUAUUUUAUUUCUUUCAGUCAUUUGACUGCGGCCAUGCUAGAGUAACGCCUUUAAGGGUUUCACUCGAAGAAAUCGAUCCCAAUGCUUAAUCUUUGUACGCGAAAUACUUAUUUUAUCGUUCUCUUUUGCUAUGUUACAGGGACCUAAGCACACCAGCAUCGAUUGUUUAGUGAACACAAACACACAUAAAUAUAUACAUAUAUACGUACAUACAUAUACACACACUCAUAUACGACAGGUUUCUUUCAGUUUCCGUCUAACAAAUCCAGUCACAGGGUUUUGGCCGGCUCAAGGCUAUAAUAGAAGACACUUGUCCAAGGUACCAUGCAGUCACGCUUGUGUAUGUAUAUAUACACGUGUGAGUGUGUGUGUGUGUGUGUGCACGCGUGUGUGUUUACGUGUGUAUAUGUGUGUUAUGUCAUAUAUACAGGGGUUGGAUAAAAUAAUGGAAAUACCUUAAAAUUUCAACAAAUUAAUUUUAAUAUGGGGUAGGACCGCCUUUGGCAGUAAUUGCAGCUUGAAUUCUACGAGGUACGAAGUUUGAAUUGUUUCCAAAGGAAUUUUUGGAAUUCUUCAGUUAAAACAGUCUCCAGUUCUUGUAGUGAUGCUGGUAGAGGAUAUCGACUCCUUACUUGUUUUUCUAAAAUGCACAAUAACUGUUCAAUAAUAUUGAGAUCUGGGGACUGUGGUGGCCAGAUAAAAUCUUCAACUUCACUAGAAUGUUUCUCGUGCCACUCAGUAACAACUUUAGCUGUGUGAAUUGGUGCAUUAUCAUCCUGAAAGAUUGGGUUUCCCUCCGGAAACAGUUCCGGAAUCAUAGGAUGAAUUUGAUCAGAUAAAAUGCUUAAGUAGUCUUGACUAUUAAUUCUGCCAUGAAGGGAAACCUUUGGGCCGGCGGAUUUCCAAGAUAUAGCACCCCAGUUGGAAGAAGGCAGUCUGGGUCAAAUGCUUCUUUUUGGGUGUCUUCACACGUAAACUUGGCCGGUGGUCGGAAAUAAGGUAAAGGAUGAGUCGUCCGAGAAAAAAAAAAACAUUCUUCCACUGCUCUAGGGACCAAUUUUGUAGGAUUUUACCCCACUCUAAACGCUUUGCAACGUCUGUUUUUGAAAGUAGUGGUUUUCUGAUUGCAUCUCUCCCAUGAAAUCGGCUUCGUGCAGCUCCCGACGAACAGAUUUUGUGAAAACUUGGUUCUCGAGAUGGUCAUUAAGCUCUGCAGUAAUUUUGGGAGCUGUACUUUUGUGAUCCUUUCUAACAAUUCGCGUAAGUAUCCGACGGUCCCUAUCUGAAAGUUUUGAUUUUCUUUCUGAGUUUUGUUUCGACGAGGAGGUUUUCCCCUCUUUCUCAAAGGCUGUCAUUACUUUCGAGAUAUUACUUCUUGAUACCCCAAGCAUUUCGGCUCUUCGUUACGCUAGCGCUUGCCAUACGAGCACCAACAAUUUAACCUCUUUGAAAUACCAAUAGAUCUGUCAUUUUAAUGAAUUCUAAUUACCUUUUUCUGAUGAUAUCUGGAAAGAAACAACAAUUUUAGCAAAGUAUUAAGCAACACUUACAAUAAAUAAAAAAAACAUAAAAAUAAUGAAGCUUUUGAUGGUUUUAUAGAUAUUUGAAAAUUAUGAUGCUAUGAUGCUAGGUGUUUCCAUUAUUUUGUCCACCCCCUGUAUACAUAUAUAUAUAUAUAUAUAUAUAUAUAUAUAUAUAUAUAUAUAUUCAUAUGUGUCUGUGUGUGUGUCUGUCUAUCUAUCUAUCUAUCUGUCUAUCUGUCUAUCUAUCUAUCUAUCUAUCUAUCUAUCUAUCUAUCUAUCUAUCUAUCUAUCUAUCUAUCUAUCUAUCUACCAUCUGUGUGUGAGUGUGUGUUUGUUUUUGUGUUUCUAUAUUUGUGUCUCUUUUUGUCCGUUGGAAGAAGCUUGCUUCCCAACCACAUGAUUACGGGUUCAGUCCCACUGUGUAGAACCUUGGAUAAUGCAACUGUAACAUCUUACAUAUAUUUUUAGAUUCAUUUUUUUAUUUUUAUUCCCUUAUUUCCCUCUAUAUUUCCUUUAUCCAUCCCUUUCCAAAAUAACACCUUAUGUUGAACUCUACUAUUUUCCUUCAUAUCGUCUCUGAUGAAGGGAUAUCCCUAAUAUCCCAGAAACAGCUGUAAGACUACCUGUCUCCUUAUAAAUUCCACACAGCCUUGGUUUUCUUGUCACAUUUUAUUUAACACGCACAAGCGCACGCGCACACACACCUACUCUUUUCUCUUAUACUUGUUUCAGUCAUUUGACUGCGGCCAUGCUGGAGCACCGGCUUUAGUCGAGCAAAUCAACCUCAGGACUUAUUCUUUGAAAGGCUAGUACUUAUUCUAUCGGUCUCUUUUGCCGAAUAAGUACAAAGAAUAAAUCCUGGGGUCGAUUUGCUCGACUAAAGGCGGUGCUCCAGCAUGGCCACAAUCAAAUGACUGAAACAAGUAAACGAAUAUAUAUAUGCUUGUGUGUGUGUGUGUGUGUGUAUACGGUGGUGCUCCAGCAUGAACACAGCCGCAGAGCUGAAACGAGUAAAGGAUAUAUAUAUAUAUAUAUAUAUAUAUAUAUAUAUAUAUAUAUAUAUAUAUAAAGAGAAAGAAGAGAGAGAAAUUAUUUAAAAAGUUAAGUUAUUGGGAUGAGACCAUUCUGGAGCAUCACACAUGAACUUUAGUAUUUAAAUUUCAAGUUUGCUACUUAUUUUAUCGAUGUUAUAUUUGUCGAAGUGCUAAACUUCGCUUUUUGAUAAUACGUAGGUCAAUGUACUCUAAGCGUCACCACUUUCUUAAACACAAAGAAAGUGACACCUGAAAUUAAUGGAAAUUCUCUAUAUUUACUGAUAUUUUUAAUGCUUCUUAUUGCUUUAUAUCUAACAAUACCAGUUGUGCGUGUACAUCGUGUGUGCGGAUGCGCUUGGGUGUUUGUGUGGUGCAUUUCUAAAUUGAAUUACCUGUCAAUUAAUUUGUGCUUACCGUGUAUGCCUGUAUGAUUAUAAAGCUUUGUGUAGGUAUUUUGUUAAUCUUUUUUACAUAUUGCCAGAGUUUAUAAUUAUACCGAUACAUACAUAAAAACGGAGGGUGUGUGUGUGUGUGUGUAUAUAUAUAUAUAUAUAUAUAUAUAUAUAUAGGCGCAGGAGUGGCUGUGUGGUAAGGUGGUAAGUAGCUUGCUAAUCAACCACAUGGUUCCGGGUUCAGUCCCACUGCGUGGCAUAUUGGGCAAGUGU
rnacentral:lncRNA from 1 species